GAGUUUGAUCGUGGCUCAGAUUGAACGCUGGCGGCAUGCCUUACACAUGCAAGUCGAACGGCAGCACGGGAGCUUGCUCCUGGUGGCGAGUGGCGAACGGGUGAGUAAUGCAUCGGAACGUAUCCUGGAGUGGGGGAUAACGUAGCGAAAGUUACGCUAAUACCGCAUAUUCUGUGAGCAGGAAAGCGGGGGACCUUCGGGCCUCGCGCUCUUGGAGCGGCCGAUGUCGGAUUAGCUAGUUGGUGAGGUAAAGGCUCACCAAGGCGACGAUCCGUAGCAGGUCUGAGAGGAUGAUCUGCCACACUGGAACUGAGACACGGUCCAGACUCCUACGGGAGGCAGCAGUGGGGAAUUUUGGACAAUGGGGCAACCCUGAUCCAGCCAUGCCGCGUGAGUGAAGAAGGCCUCGGUUGUAAG
rnacentral:rRNA from 1 species